rnacentral:rRNA from 1 species
UAAAGUGGCGUACGGGUGAGUAACACGUGGGUAAUCUACCUUCUGGUGGGGAAUAACCUAGAGAAAUCUGGGCUAAUACCGCAUAACACUUACGAGUCAAAGCAGCAAUGCGCUUGGAGAGGAGUUCGCGGCCGAUUAGCUAGUUGGUGGGGUAAUGGCCCACCAAGGCGAUGAUCGGUAUCCGGCCUGAGAGGGCGCACGGACACACUGGAACUGAAACACGGUCCAG